AUUCCCACAACACCUGCAGGUGUGGCUGCUGUGUCAUGUGUGGGUCAGUAGGUGGCAGAGAAGAUAGAGCCUGUGUCUAGGCUCAAUGUUCUGACCUAUGGACUUCUGAAUGAUUAGUAACCUAACACA